rnacentral:rRNA from 1 species
GACGAACGCUGGCGGCGUGCUUAACACAUGCAAGUCGAACGGAAAGGCCCUGCUUUUGUGGGGUUCUCGAGUGGCGAACGGGUGAGUAACACGUGUGUAACCUGCCCUUGACUUUGUGAUAACUUCAUGAAACUGGGGCUAAUACCGGAUAGGAGCUCCUGCUGCAUGGUUGGGGUUGGAAAGUUUCGGCGGUUGGGGAUGGACUCGCGGGUUAUCAGCUUGUUGGUGGGGUAGUGGCUUACCAAGGCUUUGACGGGUAGCCGGCAUGAGAGGGUGACCGGAGACAAUGGGACUGAGAGACGGACCAGAAUGGAACGGGAGGCAGGAGGGGGGAAUAUUGCACAAUGGGAGGAAGCAUGAUGAAGAAACGCGGCGAGCGGGAUGACGGCAUUCGGGUUGUAAAAAGAAGUAGAAGGAGAAGAAGAGUGAGUGACGGUAAUGGGUAAAGAAGCAACGGCUAACUACGUG